ACAACGAGAAAGAGAGACGCACCGAUUAUAGGAUAAGCGGCCAGAAGAGACGAGAAAAAUAAGCGGCGAGAGUUAGGGUUCUUCGUCGGCUUCGAGAGAGAAAGAACAGUUUUUUUUCUUAUUCUUUUUAGUCUUCUGCCUUUUCCUUGGCCUAUUCCGAUCUGACAUAGACACCUUUUUUGCAACAAAUGAAACAAAACUCGAGAAUGGGAUAUGAGAUUUCGAUAUAGUGGCAAAAUAACAAGACAGUAAUGAGAUUACGAGUUAGUGCCAUAGGUUUACCGUUCACUCUCUUCGUCUUCAUUAUUGUCAUCUUCAAAGCAACUCUCACCAUGAACAGAACCACAUGUGAGGACCAAG
rnacentral:lncRNA from 1 species